CAUCAAAACCCCUCGUCGUCAGCUUUCGCCGUCGAGCCUCGGCGCCGCCGGCUCGGUGGUCGUGGCGGCGGAAGAAACGUCAAGGCAACCAAAACAAAACAAAUCAAAGCUGAGCUCUCUUCUGUUUCGCGACAUUUUUUUUUGCGUUUGUGAUCUUUUUAGUACCUUUUGCAUCUUGCGUUGGACUGUCACCGCGAACCGUUCCGUCGUCAGCUUGCUGUUCGCGUUGGACCUCGCCGAAACGUGAAUGUUUUGGCUCUGUCCGGGAUGCCACCUUCCGAAGACUGUUGAAUCGUAUGAAGAUAAAGGGCAAGACUUUCUUCCGCCGGAACUGUGGCUGGAGAUUUUCAAGUUGCUGGACGGGACAUCGAUCCUGCAGGCGCGGUUGACCUGCCACCGGUGGAGGGAGAUUGUCGAUGGGUCGCGCUGGCUGCACGACCUGUUCUGGGUUAUCAUUGAAGGGAUGUUCUUUGAUCGGUGGCACGAGCCAGAGAAUCUGCCACCGGCAGCGAAUAUUACAAUGCAAGCGGUUAAGAUCUUGGAGGUCGAUUCGUGGUGGCCUUGGUUCGGUUCUGGACUGCUAAAUCAAGGGUUGAAGUGGCGAAGUGGCGCUUUCGACAUUGCUGGGAGAUUGUUCCACAAUCAAUGCUAGAUAUCGUCUAUCCCGGAAUAUUCUGUCUCAGAGUGACUUUCUUUGGUAGAGACAAAGUCUGGUUGCAGAUUGCGGCAUUGCUUUAUGAGUGUGCCAGCGGAGAUGCCGAGCUGCUAGACAAAGAAAUCCAAGACUUACGGUUCUGUUCUAAGAGCAACUCCGUACUAGCUGGGCUGAACGUCGACCAGCGUGGUGGAAGGGGUGGACGGACGCAAGGUGUUGUCUGGCGGGUACUUUCAAACACCUUUGAACUUACCGAGCUGGAGCUGGUCCAAUUGAAGAUAGAGAAGGUUUCCGACAGUAAGUAACAUAAUUCUGCGCGCCGAGCGUUUCAAUUCUGGAUGAUUCGAUCAAACAGAGUGAAGGCGGCGUGCUGACGAGUUGGACGAGGAGGAGGAGGUGAAGGAAAAGCGGACGUGGUCAAGCGAAGAUCGAAGAAUCAGCAAACUGGUUCACAUCAAGACGGACCACAUUGCCGAGCGAUCGAAGAGUGCGGUAAGGCAUUCGGCACCAAGAGCGCCGUCAACGAACGCGACAACGACGAGAACUGACGCCUCGUGGAACGGUCUCAACCAGACGUUGGCCAAUAGGUUCAAGCAAGAACUGACCCAGUGAGUAAUUUUUGAAGCA